rnacentral:rRNA from 1 species
UACGUAGGCAGCAAGCGUUGUUCGGAGUUAUUGGGCGUAAAGAGCUCGUAGGCGGUUCGGCAAGUCAGCUGUGAAAUCUCCACGCUCAACGUGGAGGGGUCAGCUGAUACUGCUGUGACUUGAGUCCGGUAGGGGAGUGUGGAAUUCCCGGUGUAGCGGUGAAAUGCGCAGAUAUCGGGAGGAACACCAGUAGCGAAGGCGGCACUCUGGGCCGGUACUGACGCUGAGGAGCGAAAGCGUGGGGAGCAAACAGG